UACGGACAUAUCGUGCUAAAUUACCGGUUCUCGUACGAUCAGCGAGGUUAAGCAACGUCGUGGUUUGUCAGUACCUAGAUGGGUGAUUGCUUGGGAAUACCAGGUGCUGCCAU